GGGACACGUGGUAUCCUGUCUGAAUAUGGGGGGACCAUCCUCCAAGGCUAAAUACUCCUGACUGACCGAUAGUGAACCAGUACCGUGAGGGAAAGGCGAAAAGAACCCCGGCGAGGGGAGUGAAAAAGAACCUGAAACCGUGUACGUACAAGCAGUGGGAGCACGCUUAGGCGUGUGACUGCGUACCUUUUGUAUAAUGGGUCAGCGACUUAUAUUCUGUAGCAAGGUUAACCGAAUAGGGGAGCCGAAGGGAAACCGAGUCUUAACUGGGCGUUAAGUUGCAGGGUAUAGACCCGAAACCCGGUGAUCUAGCCAUGGGCAGGUUGAAGGUUGGGUAACACUAACUGGAGGACCGAACCGACUAAUGUUGAAAAAUUAGCGGAUGACUUGUGGCUGGGGGUGAAAGGCCAAUCAAACCGGGAGAUAGCUGGUUCUCCCCGAAAGC
rnacentral:rRNA from 1 species